CACACACUCUCGCUCUCUCAUUCUCCUUUCCCUCCUCUCCAUCUCCCUAUUGCAUUGUGUCUGACUGAUUUUCAGAGCACCUUCGCUGUUUCCCCCUUCUCAUUCCCUUUCUGUAAAAUAUCUAGACAGGAAGGAGGUGGCUGCAGAGGCUGAACAAACAAUCUCAUAUUCUGCCUGCAAUGUCAUCGUUUCUUUCCCCCAUUUUAGGGGGCUGAAGUUGCCCAGGAAGGGGAUGCAGAGGAGCUGGAAAGGAAGGGGGGAGCUCUCCAGAGGCAGCUGCGGUCAGGGGCAGGGACUGCCGCCAGAUGUGCCUGCCUCUCUGGGCUUUGAUUCGAAAGGGGCAGCAGGAGGAAGUAUUGGGAGACAAAAGCCCCGGUUUAAAUGAUCAUUUUCUUUAUUUAACAUGGCAGCAGACACUCUCUGCGUAGGAUCAUCAUGCCGAGCAUAAACUGGACUUUCCCACUUGCCUGGCAGGAGUGAGACAGAUCACUGUCUGCUAAAUGAGCAUCUGAGAUGUCCUUGGCGUGUGCACCCUUGUGGAAUCCGGUUCAUCUCCAAUCUGUCAAGAAGCAUCAGAGGUGGUUUUGACUCCUUAUGUCCUGAGCCUGUGCACAAAAUGUGU